ACUCCUACGGGAGGCAGCAGUGGGAAUAUUGCACAAUGGGCGCAAGCCUGAUGCAGCAACGCCGCGUGAGGGACGACGGCCUUCGGGUUGUAAACCUCUUUAGCAGGGAAGAAGCCUUCGGGUGACGGUACCUGCAGAAAAGCGCCGGCUAACUACGUGCCAGCAGCCGCGGUAAUACUUAGGGCGCAAGCGUUAUCCGGAAUUAUUGGGCGU
rnacentral:rRNA from 1 species